UGCAUCGUCGGCUCCAUUCUGUAGGAGGUCUCUUGGAGGUGGUUCAUCAAUUCAACUGCUUCUUUCGAAUAGGCAAAUUAGGAAUGCGAGUGGGAGAUUGCUGGAAGAAAUUACUUCUGUUCAUCAAAAGGCCCCAACCCGAUCUUGAAUAAAAUAAAUUAUUGAGCUGAAGAUUUUGACUCAAUCGCACAAAGAAUCGAGUCCAUGAAAAUUGAACUCACGCAAACUUGUUUUGCGUCCUGAGCUGAAUGGAAAGCCCAACAACUAGAGCAUCAGAUGUGAAGCACGAACAUUGAAUCAAAUCGAAGGGCUCUUAUUUUUUGUGUAAUGACAUUGUGGUAUAGGAUUUUAUAAACCCGGAUGGGUGGUUUCGAUUUAUUUUUUUACUCGGCAAGAUCUUUGAUUAUUGACAAUGCAGCUAACAUUAAUA